rnacentral:rRNA from 1 species
CACGUAGGGGACGAGCGUUGUCCGGAUUCAUUGGGCGUAAAGCGCGCGUAGGCGGCUUGUCACGUCGACUGUGAAAACCCGGGGCUCAACUCCGGGCCUGCAGUCGAUACGGGCUGGCUUGAGUGCGGUAGGGGAGACUGGAAUUCCUGGUGUAGCGGUGAAAUGCGCAGAUAUCAGGAGGAACACCAAUAGCGAAGGCAGCUUGCUGGGACGGUACUGACGCUAGGAGAACGCGGGAAGCGUAGGGAG